AUUUCCCACCGCAAGGGUAAGACCCCAGAAAGACUAUCUGGUUGAUAGGUCGAAGGUGUAAGUGCAGCAAUGUAUUUAGCUUAUCGAUACUAAUAGGUCGAGGACUUGACCAAUAUUAUUUGAUGUUCACUU
rnacentral:rRNA from 1 species